UGGGUUAAGUCCCGCAACGAGCGCAACCCUUAAGCUUAGUUGCCAUCAUUAAGUUGGGCACUCUAGGUUGACUGCCGGUGACAAACCGGAGGAAGGUGGGGAUGACGUCAAAUCAUCAUGCCCCUUAUGAUUUGGGCUACACACGUGCUACAAUGGACAAUACAAAGGGCAGCUAAACCGCGAGGUCAUGCAAAUCCCAUAAAGUUGUUCUCAGUUCGGAUUGUAGUCUGCAACUCGACUACAUGAAGCUGGAAUCGCUAGUAAUCGUAGAUCAGCAUGCUACGGUGAAUACGUUCCCGGGUCUUGUACACACCGCCCG
rnacentral:rRNA from 1 species